rnacentral:rRNA from 1 species
AGUGAACGCUGGCGGUAGGCCUAACACAUGCAAGUCGAACGGCAGCACAGUAAGAGCUUGCUCUUACGGGUGGCGAGUGGCGGACGGGUGAGGAAUACAUCGGAAUCUACUUUUUCGUGGGGGAUAACGUAGGGAAACUUACGCUAAUACCGCAUACGACCUACGGGUGAAAGCAGGGGAUCUUCGGACCUUGCGCGAUUGAAUGAGCCGAUGUCGGAUUAGCUAGUUGGCGGGGUAAAGGCCCACCAAGGCGACGAUCCGUAGCUGGUCUUAGAGGAUGAUCAGCCACACUGGAACUGAGACAGGGUCAGACUCCUACGGGAGGCAGCAGUGGGGAAUAUUGGACAAUGGGCGCAAGCCUGAUCCAGCCAUACCGCGUGGGUGAAGAAGGCCUUCGGGUUGUAAAGCCCUUUUGUUGGGAAAGAAAAGCAGCAGGUUAAUACCCCGCUGUUCUGACGGUACCCAAAGAAUAAGCACCGGCUAACUUCGUG